rnacentral:rRNA from 1 species
GACGAACGCUGGCGGCGUGCUUAACACAUGCAAGUCGAACGGAAAGGCCCUGCUUUUGUGGGGUGCUCGAGUGGCGAACGGGUGAGUAACACGUGAGUAACCUGCCCUUGACUUUGGGAUAACUUCAGGAAACUGGGGCUAAUACCGGAUAGGAGCUCCUGCUGCAUGGUGGGGGUUGGAAAGUUUCGGCGGUUGGGGAUGGACUCGCGGCUUAUCAGCUUGUUGGUGGGGUAGUGGCUUACCAAGGCUUUGACGGGUAGCCGGCCUGAGAGGGUGACCGGCCGCAUUGGGACUGAGAUACGGCCCAGACUCCUACGGGAGGCAGCAGUGGGGAAUAUUGCACAAUGGGCGGAAGCCUGAUGCAGCAACGCCGCGUGCGGGAUGACGGCCUUCGGGUGGUAAACCGCUUUCGCCUGUGACGAAGCGUGAGUGACGGUAAUGGGUAAAGAAGCACCGGCUAACUACGU